AAAUUACUUCCUCCGUCCAGAAAUAUGUAACUUGGAUUUGUCUAGAUUCGUAUGUAUCUAGACACGUUUUAGUGUAUAGAUAACGUGUAUAGAUACAUGCGAAUCUAGACAAAUUCAAGUCGCUUAUUUCUGGACGGAGUGAGUACUGA
rfam:Brachypodium distachyon strain Bd21 chromosome 2, whole genome shotgun sequence.